rnacentral:rRNA from 1 species
GACGAACGCUGGCGGCGUGCUUAACACAUGCAAGUCGAACGGAAAGGCCUUUUCGGAGGUACUCGAGUGGCGAACGGGUGAGUAACACGUGGGUGAUCUGCCCUGCACUCUGGGAUAAGCCUGGGAAACUGGGUCUAAUACCGGAUAGGGCCGCACUUUAGUGUGUGUGGUGGAAAGUUUUUUCGGUGUAGGAUGAGCCCGCGGCCUAUCAGCUUGUUGGUGGGGUAAUGGCCUACCAAGGCGGCGACGGGUAGCCGGACUGAGAGGUUGGUCGGCCACAUUGGGACUGAGAUACGGCCCAGACUCCUACGGGAGGCAGCAGUGGGGAAUAUUGCACAAUGGGCGCAAGCCUGAUGCAGCGACGCCGCGUGGGGGAUGACGGCCUUCGGGUUGUAAACUCCUUUCGCCAGGGACGAAGCGUUUUGUGACGGUACCUGGAGAAGAAGCACCGGCUAACUACGUG